rnacentral:rRNA from 1 species
UACGUAGGGGGGCGAGCGUUGUCCGGAUUUAUUGGGCGUAAAGAGCUCGUAGGCGGUUUGGCAAGUCGGGUGUGAAAACUCCGGCUCAACUCGGAGACGCCACUCGAUACUGCCAUGACUCGAGUCCGGUAGGGGAGUGCGGAAUUCCUGGUGUAGCGGUGAAAUGCGCAGAUAUCAGGAGGAACACCGGUGGCGAAGGCGGGUCUCUGGGCCGAUACUGACGCUGAGGAGCGAAAGCGUGGGGAGCGAACAGG